GAUAAUUGGCAUAUUUUUACAAGCGCAGGAGUGGCUGUGUGGUAAGUAACUUGCUUACCAACCACAUGGUUUCGGAUUCAUUCCCUCUGCAUGGUACCUUGGAGAUGUAAAUAGCUACAUAUCUACAAAAUGAGGCACAAUACCUGUUGUAAGAAUUAAGCCAAUACCUGCAUGGUCAUGAAGAAUUGAAACUCUAAUACAGCCAUUUUACAUACUCCCAAGUAAACUGACAUCUGACUGUUUAAAGAAGACUUCAAAAGUAACUAAAAGCAACUUCACUUGUAAAUGAACAAAAUUUAGCAUCAUGGUGUCAUCAAGUACCUGCAGAAAAACAGUUUAGCCACCACCCCACCCCCAGACAUUAAUACUGACAUCGUUACUACAAAAGGGGAUGAAACUUUCCAGCUUAAUCAGCAGUGCAAAAGCAGACAGUUGAAUUUAAGAAAGGAAGAGAGAGAGUUUUGAAGAUGACCCAAGGUCUGGACAUUCUGAGGAAAAUGUUGUUCACCAUGUGGAUGGAUGACAGGUGAUUCACUAUAAAUCAAAUAGCCAAUGCUAUUAGCCUAUUCUGUGAGAGAGUUGAGAAUAUUCUGCACAAUGAACUUGGCAAGAUGAAGGUUUCUGCUUGAUGGCUACCAUGUCUUCUGAUAUCUGACCAAAAGCAUACCAGGCUGAUCACAUCAUGGAAAAAUCUGACAUUGUUUGAGGCAGAUCCAACUGGUUUCCUUGAACAUUUCCUAACCUAAGGUGAGUGUUGGUUUCAUCACUUUGAGCUGGAGACGAAAAGACAAUCCAUGCAGUGGAAACAGCCCUCCUCACCUGCUCCAAAGAGGGCCAAGGUUGUUUUUUCUGCAGGGAAGGCGAUGGUCUCAGUGUUUUGGGAUGCAAAGAUAUUGUGUUUAUUGACUAUCUUCUAAGGAGCCACACUAUCAAUGGAAAGUACUACGGCAACUUGUUGUGGCAGUUACAAAAGGCUAUCAAGACCAAAUGCUCAGGAAAACUGACAAAAAGGGUCUUGUUUCAGCAAGGCAAUGCUCCAGUACACAAGUCCUUAGUUUCUAUGUCUGCUAUGUGUGACUGUGGCGUACUGGUUGAUCACCCUGAUUUGGUCUCAUCUGACUAUCAACUGUUCCCCAUAAUGAAAAAAUAUUUGGCUGGGAACCAGUAUUGCAGUGAUGACAAUGUCACAUAUGCUAUUUUUUUGACCAACAGGAUAAGAGUUUCUUCACCAAUUGAAUCCAAGCACUGCAACACCAAUAGAAGAAGAGUGUGGACUGAAAUGUGGACUAUGUUGAAAAAUAAGCCUUUUUGGUCACAUUUCAAGAGAGCAUAUUGGUCAGUCUAUGAACUUUUCAGCUGACCCUCAUGCAUACAUGCAUGUGACAAAUUUCUUUCAGUUUCUAUUUACCAAAUCCAC